rnacentral:rRNA from 1 species
UGGUAAUGCCGGAUGCUCCGACAUGACGCAUGUCGUGUCGGGAAAGAUUCAUCGGUAUGGGAUGGGGUCGCGUCCUAUCAGCUUGAUGGCGGGGUAACGGCCCACCAUGGCUUCGACGGGUAGCCGGCCUGAGAGGGCGACCGGCCACAUUGGGACUGAGAUACGGCCCAGACUCCUACGGGAGGCAGCAGUGGGGAAUAUUGCACAAUGGGCGCAAGCCUGAUGCAGCGACGCCGCGUGCGGGAUGACGGCCUUCGGGUUGUAAACCGCUUUUGACUGGGAGCAAGCCCUUCGGGGUGAGUGUACCUUUCGAAUAAGCACCGGCUAACUACGUGCCAGCAGCCGCGGUAAUACGUAGGGUGCAAGCGUUAUCCGGAAUUAUUGGGCGUAAAGGGCUCGUAGGCGGUUCGUCGCGUCCGGUGUGAAAGUCCAUCGCUUAACGGUGGAUCCGCGCCGGGUACGGGCGGGCUUGAGUGCGGUAGGGGAGACUGGAAUUCCCGGUGUAACGGUGGAAUGUGUAGAUAUCGGGAAAGAACACCA